rnacentral:lncRNA from 1 species
GAACACCUUUCAGGAUCCACAGCAACGCAGACAACUCCAGAAUCCCGGCCUCUGCUUGGAACGGAACAGUGUCAUGGCGGAGACGACGGCCUUUGUCUUGCUGGGUGUGAAAACAUCCGCUGUGCUGGCUCCACUGCGGCAGAAUCAAGUUUAAAGGAAAAAAAGUGAUUAAAGUCAGCUUUGUGCCUCUGUGGUGUGGAAGACCCCCAAACCCCAAGUAGCCGAGUCCCAGGGUCCGAGGAAGGGCUCAUAGUUGGAGCAGCCUAGGCUGUAAUCCUGGCACUUGCGCCUUCGGUUGCUG